GAUGGGAGAGCGCGAUUUAGGGCUGGAAAAAAAAAAGAAGAAUCAAGAACUGGUGAUGAUGAAUACCUCAUUGCUUUUGGUUGGUGAUUCAUAGGACCUCUUUUCUGUUAAUUUUUUGCUUUAACUUCUGCUUAUUCACUUAGGCUUCUUCCUCUAAAGAAUCAUUUUCAGAUUCUUUAGGAUACGUGCCUCACUUUCUGCUCGAGAAUCCUUUAGUAGUGGAGGCUCAACAGUUUUGUCCUUCAUGAUAUUCCAUGUCGGCAGAAAUGGCUACGCACAUUUGGGUGUUGUUUCUAAUUCAUUUUAAGGAAUUAAGCAAGGGUCUACAGUGGUUUAAGACUUAAUUGUGAUUGUGGAAAAAAAGAGUGACAUUCUGAAGCAGUUCGGUUUGUUGUCACGUUUUAGCUAUAUUCAGCUGGGGAAAUUACUGUCUAGAACAAGUGCACUCCUGUCUCGUCGCAUUUGUAUAAGCUGUCCAUACAAUUUCAUUAGCUUCCAUCAAAUCCUUGCAGAUAAUUGAGGUUACUUUGGCCUUCUAAUGGAUUCCCCUCUUCCAAAAGGUAAUCUGCUAACCACUUUGUUUCCAAACUUUGCAUGGGGUAGCUAUUAAUCAUUACAAUACGAAAAUCCCUGUUUUCUAUCCCAGAUUGCCUUUUUCCCAUCAAAACCCAGCAGUUUAUAGAUUACGUUCUUCUCCUAUCACUUAUGAUUUGAAUAUAUGCUAAGUUGUGCCAGCAGUCUAUGUAAGAUUUGCCGGAUUCUGCAGUUCACAUGGGCGAACACAUUUAUGCUAGGUAUGCAUGAAAAAACCAAGAUCUUGAGGCGAAACACGUGCAGUAGAAUAAGGCUUUAGCAGGGAUGUUUUCCAGGGUCAUUCGCAAGAAAAUUCAAACAUAGCAUCAAAGACAAGUCAAUGGAUAUCAAUUUGUUAUUACUAUUGGAAUUCCAAUCAAUUUCCAGAUCUUCAAAUACGAAGAGUAUCCUAGACUCGUCAACGGAUAUCACUAAGGUUUACCUUUCAACAGGCCACACAAAAGUACCCUGCAAAAAUCCAAUGAAGAAUCCCCGCAACAAGAGAAGGGAAGAAGUCUCAAACUUUGAAGAUAUAAUGAGGCAAAAAGAGAGAAUGAAUAACCUUUUUAGAACUGAUGUAAAAGGGUUUGUUGGAACUUUGAAUAAAGAACAAGAACAUGAACUGGAAGUGCUAAAAAAAUAUUGGUUCCUGGGAACAACGUUUACUAUACGCUGACAAUGUCUGGCGUUUUCAGGUCAUGAGGAAGCUAUCCAUAUUUUAGGCAAGGAUCAAAUCACAGAGAAAAGAUGGUACCUUUCAAUUCCACAUGGAAAAUUCAAUUUCGGGUGAUGAAGAAAGCUGAGUUCGAUAAAACCUAUAAAGAUUUUCUUGUGAGGAUGGGCAAGCUUUAUCUAUAUAAUAAUCUCUCUAAAGUAGGCAAUUCUUAUUUUAUUUUAUUUUUUUCAAUCAGGAUAGUCAUUAUUCAAGGCAUCUUUAAAAGCUGCUCCAAUUUUUUAUCCAAGUCAAGAGGGGAAAGGAAUAGGUUAAUGAACAUUU